GUUUAUUAGUAAAAUUUAGGUUAUAGCCAUCCGCAGCAACGAUUGUCCCUUCCUGGAUACAUUUGAACAC
rnacentral:misc_RNA from 1 species